rnacentral:rRNA from 1 species
AUGGCGCUGCCGCUGGUCCUGCUGGUUCUGCUCGCCGCCGUGGCGGCGGCGAGGGAGGCGCACGGGUACGUGGCGUACAACACGAGCGCGGGGACGGUGGCCGGGCUGCUGAACGUGCACCUGGUGCCGCACUCCCACGACGACGUCGGCUGGCUCAAGACCGUCGACCAGUACUACGUCGGGUCCAACAACUCCAUCCAGGGCGCGUGCGUGAUGAACACGCUGGACUCCGUGGUGGACGCACUGGCGAGGGACCCUGGCCGCAAGUUCGUCGUCGCGGAGCAGGCCUUCUUCCAAAGGUGGUGGGUAGAGAAAAGCCCAAAAAUGCAGGCCAUAGUGCACAAGCUAGUUGAUUCUGGUCAGCUCGAGUUCAUAAAUGGUGGGUGGUGUAUGCAUGAUGAAGCUGCCACCCAUUAUAUUGACAUGAUUGAUCAGACCACACUUGGUCAUCGGGUGAUUAAAAAACAAUUCAACAAGACUCCAAGAGCUGGCUGGCAAAUCGAUCCUUUCGGUCAUUCUGCUGUGCAAGCUUAUUUGCUAGGAACAGAGCUUGGUUUUGAUUCUGUGCACUUUGCAAGAAUUGAUUACCAAGAUAGGGCAAAGCGUAAAGACGAUAAAGGCCUGGAAGUUAUAUGGCAGGGCUCAAGAACAUUUGGUUCAUCUUCUCAGAUCUUUACGAAUGCAUUUCCUGUCCAUUAUAGCCCUCCCGAUGGGUUUAGUUUUGAAGUUUUGAAUGACAUGACACCUGUUCAGGAUGACCCGUUGCUGUUUGACACUAAUGUUGAACAACGCGUUAAUGAUUUUGUUUCUGCAGCCAUAGCACAGGCAAACGUUACGCGUACAAACCACAUAAUGUGGACCAUGGGUGAUGAUUUUAAUUAUCAGUAUGCUGAAUCCUGGUUCCGGAAUAUGGAUAGACUUAUUCAUUACAUGAACAAGGAUGGACGAGUGCAUGCGCUGUAUUCUACUCCAUCCAUUUACACUGAUGCAAAACAUGCAUCAAAUGAAUCUUGGCCACUCAAACGCGAUGAUUAUUUCCCAUAUGCUGAUUCAACAAAUGCUUACUGGACUGGGUAUUUUACUAGCCGUCCAACUUUCAAGGGAUAUGUUCGAAUGCUCAGUGGAUAUUACCUGGCUGCACGUCAAAUAGAAUUUCUUGUGGGAGGAUCAUUCACUUCUAGCUUGGAAGACCCACUGGGAAUCGCCCAGCAUCAUGAUGCCGUCUCAGGAACAGCAAAACAACACACAACUGAUGAUUACUCGAAACGCCUUGCUCUCGGAGCAUCUCAGGUUGAGAAAGGUGUAAAUACUGCUCUGGCUUGUCUGACAAGCUCUAAGGGAACAUGUAUGUCUCCAGCAGUAAAGUUCAGUCAGUGCCAACUGCUCAAUAUAAGCUACUGCCCUUCAACUGAGGAACAAAUUUCAGGAGGAAAGGGUUUAGUUAUAACUGCUUAUAAUCCUCUUGGGUGGGAACAUAGUGACUUCAUACGGGUUCCGGUCAAUGACUUACACCUAGUCGUAAAAAGCUCUGAUGGAAGUUUUGUCGAUUCACAACUAGUUGAGGUAGAUAAUGUGACUAGCAAUUUAAGGAAGUUGUAUGUGAAGGCUUAUCUCGGAAUCAAUACAGACAAACCCCCGAAAUAUUGGCUAGUGUUUCAAGCUUCUGUGCCACCAAUGGGAUGGAAUACUUAUUUCGUCUCAAAGCCCAAGGGAGCAGGAUCUAACAGAAUGGGGUAUGUCUCAACCAUCGCUUCUCCAAGCAAAGACACAGUUGAAGUUGGACCAGGGUCUCUAAAGAUGACAUUUUCGUCAGAAUCUGGACAACUUACGCGGAUGUUCAAUUCUAUCACAGGAGUGGAUUUACCAAUUCAACAGAGCUUUCUUUGGUAUGGUUCAAAUAAUGGUGAUGGCGCGGAUUCACAGGCAUCUGGAGCUUAUAUUUUUAGACCAGAUGGGUCUACACCGACUGUUGUUUCAAGAUCGGUACCGUUAAAAGUCAUCCGUGGACCUCUGGUUGAUGAAGUCCACCAGCAAUUCAGCCCGUGGAUUUAUCAGGUUACAAGACUAUAUAAGGAUAAGGAGCAUGCUGAAGUAGAAUACACGAUUGGGCCAAUCCCGGUCAAUGAUGGCAUAGGAAAGGAGGUCAUCACAAGACUGACAGCAAAUAUGGUCACAAACCACACUUUUUAUACAGAUUCGAAUGGAAGGGAUUUUCUCAAGAGGGUGAGAGACUACAGGGAAGAUUGGGAUCUUCAAGUGACUCAACCGGUUGCAGGAAAUUACUAUCCCAUCAAUCUCGGAAUGUAUGUAACAGAUGGGAAAUAUGAACUUAGUGUCCUUGUUGAUCGUGCUGUUGGAGCUUCAAGCAUUCAGGAUGGUCAAAUAGAAAUGAUGUUCCACAGGCGUAUACUUCAUGAUGAUGGCAGAGGUGUGGAGGAGCCACUGGAUGAAACUGUUUGUGUUGACAGAAAAUGUGAUGGGCUCGUGGCUAGGGGUACUUAUUAUGUCAAUGUCAACAAGCUUGGACAUGGAGCUCACUGGCGGAGGACACAAGGACAAAAAGUUUAUUCACCCUUUCUUCUUGGUUUCGCUCAUGAGGAUGAGAGCAGUUGGAAAUCCUACAGUGUUGUGAAAGCGAGCAUGAUGAAUGCAAAUUACAGUCUUCCUGAUAAUGUGGCAAUCAUCACCUUGCAGAGUCUCGAUGAUGGUACCGCACUUCUCCGCUUGGCACAUUUGUUUCAGGCUGCGGAGGACCCACAGUACUCAGUGAUGGCAAAAGUUGAACUGAAAAAAUUGUUUGGAAAGAAAACUAUCAAGGAAUGGACUGAAACUAACCUGUCUGCCAACCAAAAGAAGGCGGCGAUGAGGAAGCUCAAGUGGAGGGUUGUCGGAGACACCGAAAGUGGUCCUGCCCCAAUUACCGGUAGCCCGGUUGACAGUCAAUCCCUUGUUGUCGAGCUGGGGCCCAUGGAGAUACGCACAUUCUUGCUGAAACUGUGA